rnacentral:rRNA from 1 species
AGCGAACGCUGGCGGCAGGCCUAACACAUGCAAGUCGAGCGCCCCGCAAGGGGAGCGGCAGACGGGAGAGUAACACGUGGGAACGUACCCUUUGGUUCGGAAUAACCCAGGGAAACUUGGACUAAUACCGUAUACGCCCUACGGGGGAAAGAUUUAUCGGAAUUGGAUGAGCCCGCGUUGGAUUAGCUAGUUGGUGGGGUAAUGGCCUACCAAGGCGACGAUCCAUAGCUGGUCUGAGAGGAUGAUCAGCCACACUGGGACUGAGACACGGCCCAGACUCCUACGGGAGGCAGCAGUGGGGAAUAUUGGACAAUGGGCGCAAGCCUGAUCCAGCCAUGCCGCGUGAGUGAUGAAGGCCUUAGGGUUGUAAAGCUCUUUCAGUGGGGACGAUAAUGACGGUACCCACAGAAGAAGCCCCGGCUAACUUCGUGCCAGCCGCCGCAGUAACAC